rnacentral:rRNA from 1 species
GACGAACGCUGGCGGCGUGCUUAACACGUGCAAGUCGAACGGUAAGGCCCUUCGGGGUACACGAGUGGCGAACGGGUGAGUAACACGUGGGUGAUCUGCCCUGCUCUUCGGGAUAAGCCUGGGAAACUGGGUCUAAUACCGGAUAGGACCACUGCCUGCAUGGGUGGUGGUGGAAAGCUUUUGCGGUGUGGGAUGGGCCCGCGGCCUAUCAGCUUGUUGGUGGGGUGAUGGCCUACCAAGGCGACGACGGGUAGCCGGCCUGAGAGGGUGACCGGCCACACUGGGACUGAGAUACGGCCCAGACUCCUACGGGAGGCAGCAGUGGGGAAUAUUGCACAAUGGGCGCAAGCCUGAUGCAGCGACGCCGCGUGAGGGAUGACGGCCUUCGGGUUGUAAACCUCUUUCAGCACCGACGAAGCGCAAGUGACGGUAGGUGCAGAAGAAGGACCGGCCAACUACGUGCCAGCCGCCGCAGUAACAC